rnacentral:rRNA from 1 species
GAUGAACGCUGGCGGCGUGCCUAAUACAUGCAAGUCGAGCGAACAGACGAGGAGCUUGCUCCUCUGACGUUAGCGGCGGACGGGUGAGUAACACGUGGAUAACCUACCUAUAAGACUGGGAUAACUUCGGGAAACCGGAGCUAAUACCGGAUAAUAUAUUGAACCGCAUGGUUCAAUAGUGAAAGACGGUUUUGCUGUCACUUAUAGAUGGAUCCGCGCCGCAUUAGCUAGUUGGUAAGGUAACGGCUUACCAAGGCUACGAUGCGUAGCCGACCUGAGAGGGUGAUCGGCCACACUGGAACUGAGACACGGUCCAGACUCCUACGGGAGGCAGCAGUAGGGAAUCUUCCGCAAUGGGGCAGAACCUGACGGAGCAACGCCGCGUGAGUGAUGAAGGUCUUCGGAUCGUAAAGCUCUGUUAUUAGGGAAGAACAAAUGUGUAAGUAACUAUGCACGUCUUGACGGUACCUAGUCAGAAAGCCACGGCUAACUACGUG